rnacentral:rRNA from 1 species
GAUGAACGCUGGCGGCGUGCCUAAUACAUGCAAGUCGAGCGAACAGACGAGGAGCUUGCUCCUCUGACGUUAGCGGCGGACGGGUGAGUAACACGUGGAUAACCUACCUAUAAGACUGGGAUAACUUCGGGAAACCGGAGCUAAUACCGGAUAAUAUAUUGAACCGCAUGGUUCAAUAGUGGAAGACGGUUUUGCUGUCACUUAUAGAUGUAUCCGCGCCGCAUUAGCUAGUUGGUAAGGUAACGGCUUACCAAGGCAACGAUGCGUAGCCGACCUGAGAGGGUGAUCGGCCACACUGGAACUGAGACACGGUCCAGACUCCUACGGGAGGCAGCAGUAGGGAAUCUUCCGCAAUGGGCGAAAGCCUGACGGAGCAACGCCGCGUGAGUGAUGAAGGUCUUCGGAUCGUAAAACUCUGUUAUUAGGGAAGAACAAAUGUGUAAGUAACUAUGCACGUCUUGACGGUACCUAAUCAGAAAGCCACGGCUAACUACGUG